UUACGGCCACACCACGUUGAAACACCGGAUCCCGUACGAUCAUCGAAGUUAAGCAACGCCGAGCCUGGUUAGUAGCUAGAUGGUUGACCGCUUGGAAAUGCCAGAUGCUGUAAG